GAACGCAUACUUUAGAGUAUGAGUGGCAGACGGGUGAGAUAACGCGCUGAGACAUCUUACCUUACAGCCCGGUAUAAAUAUCUAUAUAGAGGCGAAAAUCUUUAUAUAUGAGUGAAUCCCGGAUAUUUUGAAUAAAAAAAAAAGGCAAAGAACCGUUGUAAGAUGAGCUCGCGUAGGAUUAGGUAGUUGGUAAGGUAAAAGCUUAUCCAAGCCGAUGAUCCUUAGCUGUUCUGAGAGGAUGAUCAGCCACACUGGGACUGAGACACGGCCCAGACGCUUUCGAGCGGCAGCAGUGAGGAAUUUUGGACAAUGGGCGAAAGCCUGAUCCAGCUAUAUCGCAUGAAUGAAGAAGGCUCAAUUGGUUGUAAAGUUCAUAGUUUCAUUGUAGAUUAUGACAUUGAUGAAAUGAAUAGUCCCGGCCAACUCCGUGC
rnacentral:rRNA from 1 species